AACGAACGCUGGCGGCGUGGAUAAGACAUGCAAGUCGGACGAGGUUACGUUGUGUAGCAAUACAUGAUGUAACUUAGUGGCGAACGGGAGCGUAACACGUGGGAAUUUACCAAAAAGUGGGGGAUAGCUCGGCGAAAGCCGGAUUAACACCGCAUGUGAUCGACAGAUUAAGGUGGGGGAUCGCAAGACCUCAUGCUUUUUGAGAAGCCCGCGGCCUAUCAGCUAGUUGGUGAGGUAACGGCUCACCAAGGCUAUGACGGGUAGCUGGUCUGAGAGGACGACCAGCCUCACUGGAACUGAGACACGGUCCAGACACCUACGGGUGGCAGCAGUCGAGAAUUUUUCACAAUGGGGGCAACCCUGAUGGAGCGACGCCGCGUGGAGGAUGAAGGUCUUCGGAUCGUAAACUCCUGUCACUACAGAACAAGAGUACGAGAGUUAAUACCUUUCGUGCUUGAUAGUAUGUGGAGAGGAAGGGACGGCUAACUCUGUGCCAGCAGCCGCGGUAAAAC
rnacentral:rRNA from 1 species